rnacentral:rRNA from 1 species
AGAGUUUGAUCAUGGCUCAGAACGAACGCUGGCGGCAGGCUUAACACAUGCAAGUCGAGCGCUGUAGCAAUACAGAGCGGCGCACGGGUGAGUAACACGUGGGAACAUGCCUUUCGGUUCGGAAUAACUCAGGGAAACUUGUGCUAAUACCGGAUACGCCCUUACGGGGAAAGAUUUAUUGCCGAAAGAGUGGCCCGCGUUGGAUUAGCUAGUUGGCGGGGUAAAAGCCCACCAAGGCGACGAUCCAUAGCUGGUCUGAGAGGACGACCAGCCACACUGGGACUGAGACACGGCCCAGACUCCUACGGGAGGCAGCAGUGGGGAAUCUUGGACAAUGGGGGAAACCCUGAUCCAGCCAUGCCGCGUGAGUGAUGAAGGCCCUAGGGUUGUAAAACUCUUUCGCGCACGACGAUAAUGACGGUAGUGCGAGAAGAAGCUCCGGCUAACUUCGUGCCAGCAGCCGCGGUAAUACGAAGGGGGCUAGCGUUGUUCGGAAUUACUGGGCGUAAAGCGCGCGCAGGCGGUCCUUCCAGUCAGAGGUGAAAGCCCAGAGCUCAACUCUGGAACUGCCUUUGAAACUAGAGGACUUGGGUACGGGAGAGGUGAGUGGAAUUCCGAGUGUAGAGGUGAAAUUCGUAGAUAUUCGGAAGAACACCAGUGGCGAAGGCGGCUCACUGGCCCGUUACCGACGCUCAGGCGCGACAGCGUGGGGAGCAAACAGGAUUAGAUACCCUAGUAGUCC